GACGAACGCUGGCGGCGUGCUUAACACAUGCAAGUCGAACGGGCCUGUCUUCUUUUUUGGGGGGUGGGUUGAGUGGCGAACGGGUGAGUAUCACGUGAGUAACCUGCCCUUCGGUCCUGGAUAACCGCUUGAAAGGGCGGCUAAUACGGGGUGGUCCGGUUGGUCCGCAUGGGCUGGUCGGGAUAGAUUCACUGUUUUUGGUGUUUCGGCGGGGGAUGGGCUCGCGGCCUAUCAGCUUGUUGGUGGGGUGAUGGCCUACCAAGGCGGUGCCGGGUAGCCGGGCUGAGAGGGUGGGCGGCCACACUGGGACUGAGAUACGGCCCAGACUCCUGCGGGCGGCAGCAGUGGGGGGUAUUGCACAAUGGGCGGAAGCCUGAUGCAGCGACGUCGCGUGAGGGAUGGAGGCCUUCGGGUUGUGAACCUCUGUUUCCGGUGGUGAAGGCCCUGUCCGUGUGGUGGGGUUGACGGUAGCCGGGGAUGAAGCGCCGGCUAACUACGUG
rnacentral:rRNA from 1 species